rnacentral:rRNA from 1 species
GGUUCAGGAUGAACGCUAGCUACAGGCUUAACACAUGCAAGUCGAGGGGCAUCAGGGUCUGUGCUUGCACAGAUGCUGGCGACCGGCGCACGGGUGAGUAACGCGUAUCCAACCUUCCCCUUAGUAGAGGAUAGCCCGGCGAAAGUCGGAUUAAUACUCUAUGUUGUUCAAUGCGGACAUCUAAGUUGAACCAAAGGUUUACCGCUAAGGGAUGGGGAUGCGUCUGAUUAGGUAGUAGGCGGGGUAACGGCCCACCUAGCCGACGAUCAGUAGGGGUUCUGAGAGGAAGGUCCCCCACAUUGGAACUGAGACACGGUCCAAACUCCUACGGGAGGCAGCAGUGAGGAAUAUUGGUCAAUGGACGAGAGUCUGAACCAGCCAAGUAGCGUGCCAGGAUGACGGCCCUAUGGGUUGUAAACUGCUUUUAUGCGGGGAUAAAGUUCACCACGUGUGGUGUUUUGUAGGUACCGCAUGAAUAAGGACCGGCUAAUUCCGUGCCAGCAGCAGC